CUGUCACGGAAGAGUCCCACAAUAGGACGAAACGGCCGUCCAG
rnacentral:hammerhead_ribozyme from 1 species